rnacentral:lncRNA from 1 species
AGGGCUAGGAUUUGGAGGAUGUGUAGGCAAACGGAAGGAGAGCCGGGGGAAGAAAAACCGAAAUGGAUUCAUUCUCUGUCCUNCCGGGGGAAGAAAAACCGAAAUGGAUUCAGUCUCUGUCCUGGAUGGAGGAGGAGAAGGGAAGAGAAGAGGACGUGAAAGCUUCCUUCAACUGCCUCUGUCCGGUGAAAAGUGAUCAACCCCCCGGGACUGAAUAGAACUCAAGAGUCCACGCGGACUUUCGCUUUAUCCUGCCAAUCAAACUGCUUACUAGACAACACCCUGAUCUGGCAUGGACAU